rnacentral:rRNA from 1 species
AGCGUGGAGACAGGUGGUGCAUGGCUGUCGUCAGCUCGUGUCGUGAGAUGUUGGGUUAAGUCCCGCAACGAGCGCAACCCUCACCCCUAGUUGCCACCGGGUUAAGCCGAGCACUCAAGGGGAACUGCCAGCGUCAAGCUGGAGGAAGGCGGGGAUGACGUCAAGUCAUCAUGCCCCUUACGCCCUGGGCUACACACGUGCUACAAUGGCCAGUACAAAGGGACGCGAGACUGCGAAGUGGAGCUAAUCCCAAAAAGCUGGUCUAAGUUCAGAUUGCAGUCUGCAACUCGACUGCAUGAAGGAGGAAUCGCUAGUAAUCGCGUAUCAGCCCGGCGCGGUGAAUACGUUCCCGGGCCUUGUACACACCGCCCGUCACACCACGAAAGCUGUCUGUACUCGAAGUCGCUGAG